rnacentral:tRNA from 1 species
GAGACUUUAGCUCAAUUGGUAGAGUACUUGGGAAAUAGAGCAUAGCUCUCUAUUCUCAAGAGGAUGGUAGUUCAAAUCUACCAAGUCUCU